rnacentral:misc_RNA from 1 species
AGCCAGCCCUAUUACAACGCGAUGAACCGCAUGCCCGAGGUCGAGCACUUUCCGGCCUGCGGCUACUACGGCCUCGGCAUCGUGCCCUAUAGCCCCCUGGCGCGCGGCGUGCUCACCGGAAAGUACAAGCCGGACGCCGCGCCCGACAAGGACACCCGCGCUGGCCGCGCCGACAAGCGCAUGAUGCAGACCGAAUGGCGGCCGGAGUCGCUGAAGCUGGCGCAGGAGAUCAAGCGCCACGCCGAGAGCAAGGGCAUCACCGCCGGUCAGUUUGCGGUCGCCUGGGUGCUCAAUUCCAGCUUCGUCACCGGCGUGAUCGCCGGCCCGCGCACGGAAGAGCAAUGGGACGAUUACAUCCGGGCACUCGACGA